UAUGUUAAAUAAAAUUCUAGGUAGAAUUAUGAUGAUGACAUUGUCUAUCUAUAUGUCUUGACCAAAUUACGUGCCAGCAGUCGCGGUAAUACGUAAAAGACUUGUGUUAUUCAUCUUGAAUAGGUUUAAAGGGUACCUAGACGGCCAAUCAAGCUCCUAAAAGAGUACUAAUGGGCUAGAGUUUAAUAUAAGGAAGCAUUAAAGUACUGAUGAUGUGGAGAGAUGAAAUUCUGUGAUACUAUAUAUGGCACUGGUAAAGGCGAAAGCAUCUUAUUAUGUAAAAACUGACGUUGAGGGACGAAGGCUGUGUGUAGCCAAAAGGAUUAGAUACCCAAGUAGUCUCAGCAGAAAAUGAUGAAUGUCAUAGGAUAGAUAAAUUUUGUACUAUAAAUGAAAGUGUAAGCAUUCCACCUUAAGAGUAAUUUGGCAACAUUGGAACUGAAAUCAUUAGACCGUUUCUGAAACAAGUAGUGAAGUAUGUUGUUUAAUUUGAUGGUCCGCAAAAAACCUUACCACAGUUUAUUUGAAUAUAGAAUUAUUUAUACAAGCGCUGCACGGUUGUCUUCAGUUAAUGUCGUGAGAUUCUGGUUAGUUCCAUUAAAUUA
rnacentral:rRNA from 1 species